CGCUUUGUCUCUCUUUCUAAAUGCAUACAAAUGCCGUGGUUGCUCUGCUCGUGCUUCAGAGCCUUGUCGACGAUCGCGCUGCCACCAUAACGAAAAUUCAGUUCUGCUGUCGACUGUUAUAUUCGAUGAGAAGGUCGGGUUUGCGCCCCGGCAUCUUGCAUGCAACAUCUUCGAAAAACCAAUCGGGGGGCUUGACGAAAUCCCAUUUGUUCCACAGCAUGACGAAAUUACUCUUGCGAAAACUAUUUUUGCCGAUCUCAAUGAAUUCGGAUCACGUCGCGUUAAAUCAAAAUCAGUUUUUUGGGGGAAGUAGUGUGUCCCGACUAGAAUGGUCUAGGCGGAUUCUAAUAGUAUAUGUAGAACAAAAUGGAGUGUUCGAAUCUUGGCAACCAUUUUCGAAAAUUUUCGUGCUGUUGUGGACGCGUGGUUGGAAGAUUGUUUUCAUGGGGGUCUGUGGAUUUUAAGCGUGCGACGAGAAUACAUCAAUUAGUGGGUAUUGGGAAGAACCGCUGUGUAAUGUGGUACCAAGGGUUUUGCCGCGAAUAUUUCAAAUGUUCCACUUUUCCCAGUCGGAUGUUGGAUAGAGUUAAUAUGAGCGACUGUUCAUUUGGUUAUGAAUAUGGUAAAAGGUUAAGCAGAGCUGUAGCUGUGGGUUUGAACAAAUUUCUGGCAAGUUUUACCUCUUACUCUUGAAGUGACUACUGUUGGGUACCGGCUAUCGCGACGUUUGUUCUAUGGUUCGAGGAAAUCCAACUCUACUACACCCAUCCAUCCUGCAUCGUGCUAGUUUCUUUCAUAAAUUACAAUAGUAUAGAACAGUACAGUAGUAAAUGUAGCCAAUAUUUUGUUAAAUCCUGCUUAGUUUUUAGAAAUAAAUGUA